UCCCAGACUCCUACGGGAGGCAGCAGUGGGGAAUCUUCCGCAAUGGGCGAAAGCCUGACGGAGCAACGCCGCGUGAUCGAAUGAAGACCUUCGGGUUGUAAAGAUCUGUUGACAGGGACGAAUAAGCCAUGCGAAUAGUUUGGUGUAUGACGGUACCUGUUUAGAAAGCUCCGGCUAACUACGUGCCAGCAGCCGCGGUAAUACGUAGGGAGCAAGCGUUGUCCGGAAUUACUGGGCGUAAAGGGCGCGUAGGUGGGUGCUUAAGUCAGGUGUGAAAACUCUGGGCUCAACCUGGAGACUGCACUUGAAACUGUUUUUCUUGAGUGAAGCAGAGGCAAGCGGAAUUCCUAGUGUAGCGGUGAAAUGCGUUGAUAUUAGGAGGAACACCAGUGGCGAAGGCGGCUUGCUGGGCUUUUACUGACGCUGAGGCUCGAAAGCGUGGGGAGCAAACAGGAUUAGAUACCCCUGUAA
rnacentral:rRNA from 1 species